CAGAUGUGACUCAACCUGUGGAGACAAAGCACAAGGUCUGCAGCUGUUGAAAAACGUGAAGCAAAACUAUUUAAGUGCUAGAUUCACGCAGGGAUACAGCAUGGAGUUGCCUCUUCUGGUCCUUCAAGCCAUAACACCCCAGCAAACCCCAAUUCAACCCUAGCCUAAUCACGGGACAUUUUACAAUGACCAAUUAACCUACGACUGGUACACCUUUGAACUGUGGAAGGAAGCCGGAGCUCCCGAAAAAAAAAAGAAACCCAUGCGUUCCAGGGGAAGGACAUACAGGUGACAUCAGAAAUGAACUCCGAACUCCAUUGCUAAGAACUGUAAUACCACUGCGCUCACUGCUAUGCCACCGUGGUGCCAUCUGGAGUUGUAGGAUGAACUGAACGGAAUAAACUAAGCAUUUCAAAUAAACACUUGAUUCAAACCUUCACUGAGGAAUGUCAAAACCAGGAUGUAAAAACACAUUGGUGCAUCAUUAAUCAUAUCAGGUAACCAUCAGGUAAAAUGAGAAUACUUCUUGAAUGUAUGGAUUUGCUUCCUUGGCGGCCAGACCAGCACACAAUAUUCCAGAUGAAAUCUCUGUAGGAUCCUUUAAAAUCUCAGUAUAGUUUUUGUAUGAUAUUUACUCAACCCCUUAUCAUGAAACAUUAUUUGCAUUUCAAUAAUUUUUAACAUAAAUCCUUCACAAAUCUGCAUGAGCUAACCAAAAGGAGUCCUGCAACAGAGAAAACUUGGCUGUGGCCAGAGCUUUGCUCACUUUUUCCAAUUUGGAUUACAGCAAAGAACUAAAUACAUUAUUUGUAAUUAAAAUGCACGAGAAGCAUGAUAGGAAAAAAAAUCAUACCAGAGAUCAGUAAUUACAAUGACUAUCAAUACAUUAACAGUAAAAUUCACUAAACAAGCUUGUCCUAUCUUGAGUGCCACUGCUGAAAUCAAGUUCAGCAGAGAAUGAAGUUGUAUACAUUUGUCCAGAACUUAAUUACAUUUGAGAUAGAGUACACAAAGUUCAACAAGAUUGGACAUAGUACAUUAACGUUAGGUCAGUUUCAUAAUAAAUGAUUUAAAAGUGAUCGUUUAAAAAAAUAGAUUUAACUGGAGUGGGGGGGGGGGGUUGGGUUGAUGCUUCUGCUGCUGCCUGUGCAAAGGGUGGGGGGGAGGGAGGCUUCGAUGUUUCUAUCAUUCAUUCUAUGGGGUCGCUUUUCUCGUGGAUGUCUGUGAAGGGUACGAAUUUCAGGUUGUAUACUGUAUCUUUCUCUAAUAUUAAAUGAAACUUUUAACUCAUUACAUAAUCAUUGCUUUCUGCACGCUCUAAGUUCAUAUUUGAGCACUAAAAUAAUGCAAAGGAAAUCAGAUAGUUCUUUUUCUAUUUGGCAAGACAUACUUAAUGGGCCAAAUGACCUAAUUCUGCUUCUAUGUUUGAAGAUAGGAUGAGUGUCACACAGUCAUUGCUGGAAUAUUAAUUUCUUUUACCAGUUAGUAUAUAAAUAACUUGAUGAAAACACCAAAUGAAAUGGUUGAAGUUGCUGAUGAUACAAAGAUAAAACUGGAAAAAAAGGCCUACAGAAUUAUCUAAUGUUAAGUGACUGGGCAAAGAUCUGUCAAAUAGAGUAUGAUGUGGAAAUGUGGGGAAAAUGUGAGACAGUUCACAUCUGUGGGAAAAUAAAAUAAAAAGGUAUGAUUGAAAUGGCACAAGAUUGAACAGCUAAGAUGCAGUGGGAUUUGGUGAGUGCAUAAUCUGCAAAAAGAUAAUAGAUAAAUAAUCAAGAAGGUAAAAAUGUUAUUUUUUACUGGCAGGUUAUUGAAUACAAAUACAGGGAGAUGAUUCUUUAGUUACACAAGUUAACAGUGAGACCAUAUCUGGUAUAUUAUGGACAGUACUCAUCUCUUUACUAUGGGAAGGAUAUUAAUGCAUUGGAAGGCUGUUAACUCACAAGGAACAGUUCAGAGAAGUUUUCCUAGACCAAUACCUGGAAUGGGCAAGGACAUGUUGGACAGGUGUCAGGCUUGUAUCAUGUGAAAUUUGGAACAGAGAGGUUUCUACUGAAACUUGGGAUCCUGAGGGUUCUUGACAUUAGAUAUGGAAAUGUUUCCUCUCUCGCUGCAAAAUCUACAAUUGGAUGUUACCUGUUAAAAAUAAGGGGCACCUAUUUAAAACAGAAAGGAGGCAACAAUUCUUCAGUGCAGAGGUUAAAAGUUUUCAGAACGCUCUUCCUGGAAAGAGCAGUGGAAGUAAAUUCAUUGAAUGUUUUAAGGCACAGGAAGACAGCUCUCUAAUGAACUGCAGGGCUGAAGUUACUGUCAUGUCAGUAAUGAUUUUAACAAAAGUCAGUGCAGGCCUGAGUGAUUGAAUUUUUGCUCUGAAUUCAUACAUUUAAAUAGAACCACAUAAAUAGACAAGACAUAAUUUAGACACUGAGAAACUAGAAUUGUAUACCUGUUUUGACUCGCAUCAAUUAUGAAACAAGAAAAUGGUUUCUUUACCAGAAUAACAUAUUGAUGAGGGGUUCACCUGUAUUGAUCAUUGUGAUUCAAUAAUACAUCCCUGAAUUGUGAUAAACUUAAAUAUUUAAUUUCAUUCUUUGUACACAUGAUAACUGAAAUAAAAGUUUUAAAAGCC